rnacentral:misc_RNA from 1 species
AAGUCGUAACAAGGUUUCCGUAGGUGAACCUGCGGUUGGAUCAUUAACAAUGGUUUUCAAACCUUUAUUCUGUGCACUGUAUUGUUCUUGGUGUUUUCCGCCUCUUUCUUUGGAGAGGAGCGGAGGCACCGACAUUUUUAAACCAUGUAUUGUAUCGAGUCUUGAAUUUGUAUUAAAAUGAAAAACUUUUGACAACGGAUCUCUUGGCUCUC